GACGAACGCUGGCGGCGUGCUUAACACAUGCAAGUCGAACGGAAAGGCCCUGCUUUUGUGGGGUUCUCGAGUGGCGAACGGGUGAGUAACACGUGAGUAACCUGCCCUUGACUUUGGGAUAACUUCAGGAAACUGGGGCUAAUACCGGAUAGGAUCUCCUGCUGCAUGUUGGGGGUUGGAAAGUUUCGGCGGUUGGGGAUGGACUCGCGGCUUAUCAGCUGGUUGGUGGGGUAGUGGCUUACCAAGGCUUUGACGGGUAGCCGGCCUGAGAGGGUGACCGGCCACAUUGGGACUGAGAUACGGCCCAGACGCCUACGGGAGGCAGAAGUGGGGAAUAUUGCACAAUGGGCGGAAGCCUGAUGCAGCAACGCCGCGUGCGGGAUGACGGCCUUCGGGUUGUAAACCGCUUUCGCAUGUGACGAAGCGUGAGUGACGGUAAUGGGUAAAGAAGCACCGGCUAACUACGUG
rnacentral:rRNA from 1 species